AUUAUUAUUUUUUUAAUAUGUGGGUGUUAAAGUAAUCGAGGAAAAUAAGAAGGGUGAUGACCAUGAAGGGGAAGGAGGGUCAGAGUAUGGAUUUCUUGAUCUUGAUACUGUUUCUGGGCAGAUUGAUUUUCCUUCAAAUGCACUUUAUACUCUUUCAGGUCUGGAUACGGUGAAUCAAAUGUUAAUCAUAGAUGAAAAAGUGAAGCUGAAGCUUCCCCUGUAGUUCGUGAAGAGACAGGUCCAUCAGAAGCAAAUCUCUUCUCAGGAAAACGGAUAAUAGAUCAAAACCAAGCUCCAAGAAAGCAAGUAAAGCCAGUUGCCUGACUUCACAAGAUUCUAAAGUUCAGAUUGUUGCUAGAUGACGAUGUUCAAGAUGAAACAAAUGGCCCCAACUAAUUCAAAUUUGUAAGUAUCAAACUCUAAUUUGAUGUCACUGGUCAAUGUUCAUUCUUAAUUUUGAAAGUAAUUUAAUGUAAUCAUAAUUAUGCUCUGCCUUUAUUUAUGCUCCUGCAUUACACACAUAUUACAUAGAAUGUUGUAAUAAUGCUUGUUCUGGGCCGGAUUGAGGAGGAGAGUUGCAUUUGGAUAUUGGUCAUCAGUAUGGAUUCUUCGCUUUUUCAAGUGAAUUUGAUAAAAUACUAGGACAUUACCAUGGGUUUAGACCUUAUUCGAUAUGUAAAUUCUGAUAUAAUGUAUUGUAAUGCCUAAUACAGUUUUUCAAUCUGUCGCUGAAAUCCAAGGCUUCCCCCUAUUCCA